rnacentral:rRNA from 1 species
GUGGGGAAUUUUGGACAAUGGGGGCAACCCUGAUCCAGCCAUCCCGCGUGUGCGAUGAAGGCCUUCGGGUUGUAAAGCACUUUUGGCAGGGAAGAAACAGCCUGGGCUAAUAUCCCGGGCGACUGACGGUACCUGCAGAAUAAGCACCGGCUAACUACGUGCCAGCAGCCGCGGUAAUACGUAGGGUGCAAGCGUUAAUCGGAAUUACUGGGCGUAAAGCGUGCGCAGGCGGUUCGGAAAGAAAGGUGUGAAAUCCCAGGGCUUAACCUUGGAACUGCACUUUUAACUACCGGGCUAGAGUACGUCAGAGGGGGGUAGAAUUCCACGUGUAGCAGUGAAAUGCGUAGAGAUGUGGAGGAAUACCGAUGGCGAAGGCAGCCCCCUGGGAUGAUACUGACGCUCAUGCACGAAAGCGUGGGGAGCAAACA